GAUGAACGCUGGCGGCGUGCCUAACACAUGCAAGUCGAGCGAAGCGAUUCGGAUGAAGUUUUCGGAUGGAAUCUGGAUUGACUGAGCGGCGGACGGGUGAGUAACGCGUGGGUAACCUGCCUCAUACAGGGGGAUAACAGUUAGAAAUGACUGCUAAUACCGCAUAAGCGCACAGUACCGCAUGGUACGGUGUGAAAAACUCCGGUGGUAUGAGAUGGACCCGCGUCUGAUUAGCUAGUUGGUGAGGUAACGGCUCACCAAGGCGACGAUCAGUAGCCGACCUGAGAGGGUGACCGGCCACAUUGGGACUGAGACACGGCCCAAACUCCUACGGGAGGCAGCAGUGGGGAAUAUUGCACAAUGGGGGAAACCCUGAUGCAGCGACGCCGCGUGAGUGAAGAAGUAUUUCGGUAUGUAAAGCUCUAUCAGCAGGGAAGAAAAUGACGGUACCUGACUAAGAAGCCCCGGCUAACUACGUGCCAGCAGCCGCGGUAAUACGUAGGGGGCAAGCGUUAUCCGGAUUUACUGGGUGUAAAGGGCGUGUAGGCGGGAUUGCAAGUCAGAUGUGAAAACCACGGGCUCAACCUGUGGCCUGCAUUUGAAACUGCAGUUCUUGAGUACUGGAGAGGCAGACGGAAUUCCUAGUGUAGCGGUGAAAUGCGUAGAUAUUAGGAGGAACACCAGUGGCGAAGGCGGUCUGCUGGACAGCAACUGACGCUGAGGCGCGAAAGCGUGGGGAGCAAACAGGAUUAGAUACCCUGGUAGUCCACGCUGUAAACGAUGGAUACUAGGUGUGGGGGGUCUGACCCCCUCCGUGCCGCAGUUAACACAAUAAGUAUCCCACCUGGGGAGUACGAUCGCAAGGUUGAAACUCAAAGGAAUUGACGGGGGCCCGCACAAGCGGUGGAGUAUGUGGUUUAAUUCGAAGCAACGCGAAGAACCUUACCAGGGCUUGACAUCCCGACGACCGGUGUAGAGAUACACUUUUCUCUUCGGAGACGUCGGUGACAGGUGGUGCAUGGUUGUCGUCAGCUCGUGUCGUGAGAUGUUGGGUUAAGUCCCGCAACGAGCGCAACCCUUAUGGAUAGUUACUACGCAAGAGGACUCUAUUCAGACUGCCGUUGACAAAACGGAGGAAGGUGGGGACGACGUCAAAUCAUCAUGCCCUUUAUGACUUGGGCUACACACGUACUACAAUGGCGUUCAACAAAGAGAAGCGAAAUCGCGAGAUGGAGCAAAACUCAAAAACAACGUCCCAGUUCAGAUUGCAGGCUGCAACUCGCCUGCAUGAAGUCGGAAUUGCUAGUAAUCGCAGAUCAGCAUGCUGCGGUGAAUACGUUCCCGGGCCUUGUACACACCGCCCGUCACACCAUGAGAGCCGGGGGGACCCGAAGUCGGCAGUCUAACCGCAAGGAGGACGCCGCCGAAGGUAAAACUGGUGAUUGGGGUGA
rnacentral:rRNA from 1 species